rfam:Schistosoma mattheei strain Denwood, Zambia genome assembly, scaffold: SMTD_scaffold0001083
GCACUGCUGAAGAGUCCCACAACAGGACGAAAUGACCCUCCAGUGC